rnacentral:rRNA from 1 species
UAAGGGAUAUUGCGACAAUGGGCGAAAGCCUGACGCAGCAACGCCGCGUGGAGGAUGACGGCCUUCGGGUUGUAAACUCCUUUUACCGGGGAAGAGGAAGGACGGUACCCGGUGAAGAAGUCUCGGCUAACUACGUGCCAGCAGCCGCGGUAAAACGUAGGAGGCGAGCGUUAUCCGGAUUUACUGGGUGUAAAGCGCGAGCAGGCGGUCGGGUAAGUUGUGUGUGAAAGCGCCCUGGCUCAACCGGGCGAGGACAUGCAAGACUGCCGGACUGGAGGUAGGUAGAGGCGAGUGGAAUUCCGGGUGUAGUGGUGAAAUGCGUAGAGAUCCGGAGGAACACCAGUGGCGAAGGCGACUCGCUGGGCCUAAACUGACGCUCAGACGCGAAAGCAUGGGGAGCGAACGGG